rnacentral:rRNA from 1 species
UAGGGGGGAGCUACACAUGCAGUCGAGCGAGAACUUCGGUUCUAGCGGCGGACGGGUUAGUAACGCGUGGGAACGUGCCCUUCACUACGGAAUAGUCCCGGGAAACUGGGUUUAAUACCGUAUACGCCCUUCGGGGGAAAGAAUUUCGGUGAAGGAUCGGCCCGCGUUAGAUUAGAUAGUUGGUGGGGUAACGGCCUACCAAGUCUACGAUCUAUAGCUGGUUUUAGAGGAUGAUCAGCAACACUGGGACUGAGACACGGCCCAGACUCCUACGGGAGGCAGCAGUGGGGAAUCUUAGACAAUGGGCGCAAGCCUGAUCUAGCCAUGCCGCGUGAGUGAUGAAGGCCUUAGGGUCGUAAAGCUCUUUCGCCAGGGAUGAUAAUGACAGUACCUGGUAAAGAAACCCCGGCUAACUCCGUGCCAGCAGCCGCGGUAAUACGGAGGGGGUUAGCGUUGUUCGGAAUUACUGGGCGUAAAGCGCGCGUAGGCGGAUUGGAAAGUUGGGGGUGAAAUCCCAGGGCUCAACCCUGGAACUGCCUCCAAAACUAUCAGUCUAGAGUUCGAGAGAGGUGAGUGGAACUCCGAGUGUAGAGGUGAAAUUCGUAGAUAUUCGGAAGAACACCAGUGGCGAAGGCGGCUCACUGGCUCGAUACUGACGCUGAGGUGCGAAAGUGUGGGGAGCAAACAGGAUUAGAUACCCUGGUAGUCCA